AAACCAGCACCUCAAGUGGUCAGGAUGAUUAUUGGGCCUAAAGCAUCCGUAGCCGGCUCUGUAAGUUUUCGGUUAAAUCUGUACGCUUAACGUACAGGCUGCUGGGAAUACUGCAGAGCUAGGGAGUGGGAGAGGUAGACGGUACUCGGGAGGAAGUGGUAAAAUGCUUUGAUCUCUCGAUGACCACCUGUGGCGAAGGCGGUCUACCAGAACACGUCCGACGGUGAGGGAUGAAAGCUGGGGGAGCAAACCGGAUUAGAAACCCGGGUAGUCC
rnacentral:rRNA from 1 species